rnacentral:rRNA from 1 species
AGUUGGUGUCCGUUACGGGACUCUGACACGAGGUGCUGCAGUGGCUGUCGUCAGCUCGUGUCGUGAGAUGGUUUGGGUUAACGUCCGUAACGAGCGCACCUUGUCCUUAGUUACCAGCACGUUAUGGUGGGCACUCUAAGGAGACUGCCGGUGACAAACCGGAGGAAGGUGGGGAUGACGUCAAGUCAUCAUGGCCCUUACGGCCUGGGCUACACACGUGCUACAAUGGUCGGUACAAAGGGUUGCCAAGCCGCGAGGUGGAGCUAAUCCCAUAAAACCGAUCGUAGUCCGGAUCGCAGUCUGCAACUCGACUGCGUGAAGUCGGAAUCGCUAGUAAUCGUGAAUCAGAAUGUCACGGUGAAUACGUUCCCGGGCCUU